GACGAACGCUGGCGGCGUGCUUAACACAUGCAAGUCGAACGGAAAGGCCUUUUCGGAGGUACUCGAGUGGCGAACGGGUGAGUAACACGUGGGUGAUCUGCCCUGCGCUCUGGGAUAAGCCUGGGAAACUGGGUCUAAUACCGGAUAGGACCGCACUUUAGUGUGUGUGGUGGAAAGUUUUUUCGGUGUAGGAUGAGCCCGCGGCCUAGCAGCUUGUUGGUGGGGUAAUGGCCUACCAAGGCGGCGACGGGUAGCCGGACUGAGAGGUUGGUCGGCCACAUUGGGACUGAGAUACGGCCCAGACUCCUACGGGAGGCAGCAGUGGGGAAUAUUGCACAAGGGGCGCAAGCCUGAUGCAGCGACGCCGCGUGGGGGAUGACGGCCUUCGGGUUGUAAACUCCUUUCGCCAGGGACGAAGCGUUUUGUGACGGUACCUGGAGAAGAAGCACCGGCUAACUACGUG
rnacentral:rRNA from 1 species